CUCCUAUUCCCUCCGUUCGGAAUUACUUGUCUCGAAAAUGGAUGUCUCUAUAACUAAAAUACGUCUAGAUACAUCCAUUUCUGCAACAAGUAAUUCCGAACGGAGGGAGUACUUG
rfam:Triticum aestivum genome assembly, contig: Triticum_aestivum_CS42_TGACv1_scaffold_146099_2BS